UGUCGUUGGGUUUCAAAUAAUCAUGCUAGACCAAUCGCAAUCGGAUAAUUGUGUUUUGAGUUGGUGAUCUGCUACAAGUAAAUCAAUCGUACCUAGGUUUAGAAGAUAAACGUGUUAGAUCAAUCAGCCUCGACUCUAUUUCAAAAGUGCAAAUUACUUAGCAGCAACAGAGAAGCAAACAAUCAUUUAUCUGCU